rnacentral:rRNA from 1 species
GAUGAACGCUGGCGGCGUGCCUAAUACAUGCAAGUCGAGCGAACGGACGAGAAGCUUGCUUCUCUGAUGUUAGCGGCGGACGGGUGAGUAACACGUGGAUAACCUACCUAUAAGACUGGGAUAACUUCGGGAAACCGGAGCUAAUACCGGAUAAUAUUUUGAACCGCAUGGUUCAAAAGUGAAAGACGGUCUUGCUGUCACUUAUAGAUGGAUCCGCGCUGCAUUAGCUAGUUGGUAAGGUAACGGCUUACCAAGGCAACGAUGCAUGGCCGACCUGAGAGGGUGAUCGGCCACACUGGAACUGAGACACGGUCCAGACUCCUACGGGAGGCAGCAGUAGGGAAUCUUCCGCAAUGGGCGAAAGCCUGACGGAGCAACGCCGCGUGAGUGAUGAAGGUCUUCGGAUCGUAAAACUCUGUUAUUAGGGAAGAACAUAUGUGUAAGUAACUGUGCACAUCUUGACGGUACCUAAUCAGAAAGCCACGGCUAACUACGUGCCAGCAGCUGCGGUAAUACGUAGGUGGCAAGCGUUAUCCGGAAUUAUUGGGCGUAAAGCGCGCGUAGGCGGUUUUUUAAGUCUGAUGUGAAAGCCCACGGCUCAACCGUGGAGGGUCAUUGGAAACUGGAAAACUUGAGUGCAGAAGAGGAAAGUGGAAUUCCAUGUGUAGCGGUGAAAUGCGCAGAGAUAUGGAGGAACACCAGUGGCGAAGGCGACUUUCUGGUCUGUAACUGACGCUGAUGUGCGAAAGCGUGGGGAUCAAACAGGAUUAGAUACCCUGGUAGUCCACGCCGUAAACGAUGAGUGCUAAGUGUUAGGGGGUUUCCGCCCCUUAGUGCUGCAGCUAACGCAUUAAGCACUCCGCCUGGGGAGUACGACCGCAAGGUUGAAACUCAAAGGAAUUGACGGGGACCCGCACAAGCGGUGGAGCAUGUGGUUUAAUUCGAAGCAACGCGAAGAACCUUACCAAAUCUUGACAUCCUUUGACAACUCUAGAGAUAGAGCCUUCCCCUUCGGGGGACAAAGUGACAGGUGGUGCAUGGUUGUCGUCAGCUCGUGUCGUGAGAUGUUGGGUUAAGUCCCGCAACGAGCGCAACCCUUAAGCUUAGUUGCCAUCAUUAAGUUGGGCACUCUAAGUUGACUGCCGGUGACAAACCGGAGGAAGGUGGGGAUGACGUCAAAUCAUCAUGCCCCUUAUGAUUUGGGCUACACACGUGCUACAAUGGACAAUACAAAGGGCAGCGAAACCGCGAGGUCAAGCAAAUCCCAUAAAGUUGUUCUCAGUUCGGAUUGUAGUCUGCAACUCGACUACAUGAAGCUGGAAUCGCUAGUAAUCGUAGAUCAGCAUGCUACGGUGAAUACGUUCCCGGGUCU